GUUUCUACAUAGUCUGGAUAACUCUUUGUUAAAUAAUGUAUGUCAUGUUCACUUAAGCAUUUUCGUGUACACUUUAAGGUUCUCCGUCGUAAAACUUUACAGGGUUUUUUCAGAAUAACAAAGUUCAUUAAUAAUACAUUAUGCAUAAAAUCGCUAUCUUUUUUACAGCCAUAAUUAUCAUGGAAAUAAUUUUGGUCGCACAAGGUGUGCCCGUACCAGCAGAUGAUGAAACGCCACAAGAUAAUACGCCCGCAAAGCAAGGUUGUGCUGGAAAAUGUACAAAAGCGGUCAAAAGCGCGGGAAGUCGUGUUUGUAAUUGCCUUCGCCUUGGUUGUUGUAAAGUAGUAGUUAAUUUAUAAAUAAAUGUAAUUAAUUUUAGUGAUUCGCUUACAUAACUAGUAACAAUCGCCUAAGUUAGUUUGCUUAAUAAACGAAUAAACAGUA